rnacentral:rRNA from 1 species
AGUGAACGCUGGCGGUAGGUCUAACACAUGCAAGUCGAACGGCAGCACAGUAAGAGCUUGCUCUUACGGGUGGCGAGUGGCGGACGGGUGAGGAAUACAUCGGAAUCUACUUUUUCGUGGGGGAUAACGUAGGGAAACUUACGCUAAUACCGCAUACGACCUACGGGUGAAAGCAGGGGAUCUUCGGACCUUGCGCGAUUGAAUGAGCCGAUGUCGGAUUAGCUAGUUGGCGGGGUAAAGGCCCACCAAGGCGACGAUCCGUAGCUGGUCUGAGAGGAUGAUCAGCCACACUGGAACUGAGACACGGUCCAGACUCCUACGGGAGGCAGCAGUGGGGAAUAUUGGACAAUGGGCGCAAGCCUGAUCCAGCCAUACCGCGUGGGUGAAGAGGGCCUUCGGGUUGUAAAGCCCUUUUGUUGGGAAAGAAAAGCAGCAGGUUAAUACCCCGCUGUUCUGACGGUACCCAAAGAAUAAGCACCGGCUAACUUCGUG